GACGAACGCUGGCGGCGUGCUUAACACAUGCAAGUCGAACGGAAAGGCCCUGCUUUUGUGGGGUGCUCGAGUGGCGAACGGGUGAGUAACGCGUGAGUAACCUGACCUUGACUUUGGGAUAACUUCAGGAAACUGGGGCUAAGACCGGAUAGGAUCUCCUGCUGCAUGGUGGGGGUUGGAAAGUUUCGGCGGUUGGGGAUGGACGCGCGGGGUAUCAGCUUGGUGGUGGGGUUGUGGCAUACCAAGGCUGUGACGGGUAGCCGGCCGGAGAGGGUGACCGGCCACAUGGGGACUGAGAUACGGCCCAGACGCCUACGGGAGGCAGCAGUGGGGAAUAUUGCACAAUGGGCGGAAGCCUGAUGCAGCAACGCCGCGUGCGGGAUGACGGCCUUCGGGUUGUAAACCGCUUUCGCCUGUGACGAAGCGUGAGUGACGGUAAUGGGUAAAGAAGCACCGGCUAACUACGUG
rnacentral:rRNA from 1 species